rnacentral:misc_RNA from 1 species
UGACAUAGGGUAGUCAUGUUACAAGGUGACAUAGCGUAGAUCUCAGCCCUUCAAACCAAAUCCAAUGGCUGAGAUUCGUCCACGUCAUCACGAGUUAAAAUUUAACUCGUAGGAGCAAAAAUUUUACUGGGAGUAAAAUUUCAGGAGUUAAAAUUUUACUGGAGUUAAAUUUUAACUCAUGGUGACGUGAACGAAUCUCAGUCGUUGGAUUUGGUUUGGAGGGCUGAGAUCUACGCUAUGUCACACUGUGACAUGUCUACCCUAUGCCAC